UCCAUCUUAUCAUAAUAUUCACGUGUCAUUGAUGAAACGAAAGAAUUUGUGAAUUCGUUUCGGCCACAUUGGGAAGAAUAUAAGUGUAGCAUCAUGUCCGAUUUUUGGACAGACGGGAAAGGAAUGUGUUUGAUAAACUUCCUAGUCAAUUAUCCUUUUGGAGCGGUAUUUUUGAAAUCAAUUGAUGCAUCGGAGCAUGUGAAGAGUUCUGAUUUAAUUGUGAAGAUGAGAAAUGAGGUGAUAAUAGAAGUUGGAGAGGCGAACAUUGUGCAGUUCAUUACAGAUAACGGGUCAAACUUUAAAUCCGCUGGAAAGAUUUUACAAGAACAACAUCCUGGGAUGUUUUGGACUCCUUGUGCAGCACAUUGUGUGAACCUCUUGAUUCAAGAUAUUGGUGAGAAAAUACCAAAGAUAAAGACUACCCUGACUGAUGCAAGAGCAAUUGUGGUUUUCAUUUAUAACCACGGAAGGAUUCUUAAUCUAAUGAGGAAGUUGACGAGAAACAAAGAGUUGCACAUGUCUUGUGUAACUAGGUUUGCAACUCAGUUUAUACCAUUCAGAGUGUCCACAAGAAUUGACAUCAUAUUCAAGUAUUGUUUGUCUCUGAAGAAUGGAGGAAAAGUAGUUUUUCAAAGACAGUGGCUGGAAAGAGAGUCGAGCGAGUAGCGGGAAAAAUGGAAUUUUGGGACAACAUACAACUAGCUUGUCAAGUGCUAGCUCCUUUGGUUGAUGUGAUUAGAUUGGUUGAUACGGAAGAGAAGCCAAGUAUGGGUUAUAUCUAGAUGCAAUGGUUAGAGCAAAGGAGCAAAUCAAGAAAAAUGUAACUGAUGAAAGACUUGUCCAUAAAAUUAAAAGUAUGAUUCAAGCAAGAUGGACCGACCAACUUCAUCACCCGUUACAUGCAGCUGGAUAUUACUUGAACCCCGCUAUUUUACAUGGGGAAAAUUCGAAAGAUAAAAAGAAGAACGCGGAAGUUUUGACGGGACUUUACGAGGCUAUUGACUGUCUAGUGCCCAUUAUAGAGGAGAAUGAUAAAGUAAGGCAGGACUUGAAUCUAUACAUUGAUUCCGUUGGGCAAUUUGGAUUUGCGGCUGCUAGGUAGAACGAAAGUUGCACCAUGUAAGUAUAUAUAUAUACAUAUAUAUAGGGAGCCGCUAAAAUAGGAACCACCUCCAGUUGUAAGAACCAUGAGAACCACUCUCUACCAAUCAUAUUCUUCCAACAAAAAGGGUAGUUUGGUCAUUUACCCCAAAUGUCAAAUCUAUACCUCUCUCCUCAAUUAAAACCAUCUCCUUUUCAAUUUGUCAGAUCAUUUAUAAGCUUUCUUUGUCUAUCUCUCUCUUCAUUUUGAAACUCAUCUCUUUAAAAGGCUUCUUUGUCUCUCUCUCUCUCUCUCUCUCUCUUCGUUUCUGAAACUCACUCUCCUGAUGAAGAUUUUAAUGAAGCUUCAUCCUCUCUCAAAGUGACUCUUCAUCAGAUUCCAGCGACAUCAACACCACCGCCAUUCGCCGCCCCCUUCG